UACAGAGGAUGCAAGCGUUAUCCGGAAUGAUUGGGCGUAAAGCGUCUGUAGGUGGCUUUUUAAGUCCGCCGUCAAAUCCCAGGGCUCAACUCUGGACAGGCGGUGGAAACUACCAAGCUGGAGUACGGUAGGGGCAGAGGGAAUUUCCGGUGGAGCGGUGAAAUGCGUAGAUAUCCGGAGGAAUACCAAAGGCGAAGGCAGUGUCCUGGCUGGCAACUGACGCUGAGGCGCGAAAGCUAGGGGAGCGAACAGG
rnacentral:rRNA from 1 species